AUGAUGGUUUUGAGCAAUUUACUGUUCUGUGGUGCGUGCAGCAAAGGGCCAUUUGGGUUGAUGAGGAGCAUGAUGGGACCCAAGUACGAUGGCGAAUACGGAGUACCUCCACACGAUCGUCAAGAAGCUCCUCGGCGACACACGGUCCGCGACACGCUCAACAACGUCGUCAUCCCCACCUUCGACAUCAAGCUCCUGCAGCCCACCAUCUUCUCCACUUACAACGCCAUGAAGGAUAAGUCCAAGAACGCUCUUCGGUCGGACGUCUGCAUCAGCAUGUCCGCUGCGCCGACCUACCUCCCCGGCCACCACUUUCAGACAGAGGGAGAGGAUGGCAAGCUCCGGGACUUCAACCUCAUCGACAGUGGCGUCGCCGCAAACAACCCGACCCUGCUGGCUAUGACGGAUGUAAGCAAGCAGAUACUGAUGGGGAACAAGGACUUCUUCCCCAUCAAGCCGGCGGACUACGGCAAGUUCAUGAUCCUUUCAUUGUGCACCGGCACUGCCAAGAUCGAAGAGAAGUUCGAUGCCGCCGAAUGCAGCAAGUGGGGCCUCCUCGGGUGGCUCUCCAACAGGGCUGCCACACCCAUCAUCGACAGCUUCAUCCAGGCAAGCGCGGACCUCGUCGACAUCCACGCGUCUGUGCUUUUCCAGGCGUUGCACUGCGAGAAGCGCUACCUCCGGAUCCAGGACAAUGAGCUCAAGGGAGAAGCGGCCUCCGUCGACGUGUCCACGCCAGAGAAUCUCAUCCGGCUCAUCGAUGUUGGCCAGGCACUGCUUAAGAGGCAGGUGUGCAAGGUGAACAUCGAGACAGGCAAGAACGAGCCCGACCAAAACAGGGGCACAAAUGAGGAGGAGUUGGUCAAUUUCGCACGCAUGUUGUCAGAGGAGCGCAAAGCCAGGCUUUGA
rnacentral:rRNA from 1 species